GCUGCGAGAGCUGAACUAUGUGCAUGAUGAAGUAUAGAGCUUUACGGAAAUCAUCCCUGAACCCUCACAGAAGGUUCUUCUGUCCAUGUAAUGUGGGAUGGCAUUUUUUGAUGUGGUUGUCAAGAUGAAGUGACGCCGUACCCUUUUAGUGGAAUGGUGUGAGGACAUUUGCUUGUGCCCAGUGUCCCAUGUGAGUGUGCGAGACAUUAAAUUCAAUUUGGUUGCCCAAAAAUACCAUGCAAGAACCGUCACUCCUGGAAAUGGCUUGAGCCAAGACCUUUCAAUCCUGUGUCAGUGACUCAUGGGUAAGUCCUCCAAGCCAUUUUGCAAAUUUUUUAAACUUAUAAUCUACAGUAUAGGAAUUAAAAUUGUCCUGACACAUGUUAUUCAG